UAAAAGUCAAACGCUAAUAGAUUAGUUAUAAAAGUUUUAGACAAGUCAAACGUUUUAUUGAAUACUUUUAAAUAGCUUAAAAAGCUACAAAUUUUCAGCUAGGCAGAAGGAUUUAUAUCAGAUAUCAAAAUGUGGGUGCUCCUAGUGUUGAUGUAACCAUUAUACAAGUCUUCCUGACAAAAUAUUCAUCAGUCUUUUAGUGCGAAAAAUCAAGAGAAAAUGGGUGUUUUUUGUGAUCGUUGGGGUAGGAUUAUUCAUACAAAUUAUAAAGGUGUAAACUUCAUUGUUUGUUUUGUUGGUACUUGUAUAAUUUUACUUAUAACAGUUGGAGUUCUUUUAUAUUUCGUUCAUAAAAAUAAAUAACAAACAUAGGGUUUUAUAAAUAAAAAUUAAAAAAAAA
rnacentral:lncRNA from 1 species